rnacentral:tRNA from 1 species
CAGUGAUUAGCUCAGCUUGGUAGAGCGCCUGACUUGGAAUCAGGAGGUCGCAGGUUCAAGUCCUGUAUCAUUGACCA